AUACAUGCAGUCGAGCGGAAGAUGGGAGCUUGCUCCCUGAAGUCAGCGGCGGACGGGUGAGUAACACGUGGGCAACCUGCCUGUAAGACUGGGAUAACUUCGGGAAACCGGAGCUAAUACCGGAUAAUGCUUUUGGACUCAUGUCCUUAAGCUGAAAGAUGGUUUCGGCUAUCACUUACAGAUGGGCCCGCGGCGCAUUAGCUAGUUGGUGAGGUAACGGCUCACCAAGGCAACGAUGCGUAGCCGACCUGAGAGGGUGAUCGGCCACACUGGGACUGAGACACGGCCCAGACUCCUACGGGAGGCAGCAGUAGGGAAUCUUCCGCAAUGGACGAAAGUCUGACGGAGCAACGCCGCGUGAGUGAUGAAGGUUUUCGGAUCGUAAAACUCUGUUGUUAGGGAAGAACAAGUAUCGGAGUAACUGCCGGUACCUUGACGGUACCUAACCAGAAAGCCACGGCUAACUACGUGCCAGCAGCCGCGGUAAUACGUAGGUGGCAAGCGUUGUCCGGAAUUAUUGGGCGUAAAGCGCGCGCAGGCGGUCCUUUAAGUCUGAUGUGAAAGCCCACGGCUCAACCGUGGAGGGUCAUUGGAAA
rnacentral:rRNA from 1 species